UCGGCAUUCUUUCUAAAACACGAAUAAAUUCACACACACACACUUAACAAGAACUCAAAAAGCUUAUUCCUUUAAAAUUGCCGAUUCCUCUUCCCAUUGAAUCAUGGUUCUAGUAUAAUCCAAUCCUAUCUUAUAGUUUGGUGGGUUGAACAUGGAGCCGCCACCUAAUGGUGAAGAACCCACUUCGUGGGAUGAGCUAUAUAACAUAAAUUUGAUUCCUUCUGAGUUGUUCCUCAAGUUUAGAAAAGAAAUUCAGGGGUUUCGAGUUGGUGUCAAUUUGGAGUUCUUCAAUGACCCUAUGAAUGAUUUCCAAACUAAGCUUGUGCUGAAGCCUUUAUCCCCUGAACGGAGGUGGAAGUUUGCAUAUGAGCCUAUAAGACAAGAUGUACGCCUUAUUUCCAAAAAGAUCCCCGUCACAAAAUUUCUUAAUCUCCAGGUUGGCAUAGGCCACAAUUUCAAGAUGAAUGCAAUUGGUUGGAAAUGGAAGCUCACCACCUGUUUUGGUGGAGACGGAAUUUCUCGGAUUCGGAAUAAGACAACCCUUGGCUUGGUUCCCGGCCUGGAUUUUCGAUUUGGGUGGAGGGCAGAUUAUGUUCUUCCAGAAGUUACUGGAGCUCUUGGUACCGAUGAAGCAUUGUUCAACUUGAACUCUGGGCGGUUGCAAGCAUCAUUAGAUAGAGUUGAGGCCAUUGUGACUGCCACAUGAUUGGUCGUCAAAACAUCAGGAUAUGAAGUUGUCAAGACCAUAAAGACUUGUAUCUCUGUUGUUAAAACUCAAACAGGGCCAGCAUGAAUUGAAACUGAUGGGAUGGUUUUCCAACUCGGUGGCUCGUUUGUAUAGCAUUAAGUAGCCAGGGCAUGAAUGAACCAGAUUUUGAAAUCAAAUAGUUCCCUGAAAUUAGAUCGUAAGGAAAUGGCUUUCAUUAUACUCCUUUUAUUGUCUUCCGCCACUUGCCUUUUUAUAUGUUAGUUACUUCCAUAGGGGAGUCUCCCGGUGAAAUUACUGGUAAAUCAGGUUAUUUAUACUGUUGAGGUUAUUAGAGGGGGUUUCUGAUUUGUCAUGUUCUUUUUUCUCUUUGGAUGAUUGAAAACUUUGUUUUAAAAUCCACAGUGAAGCAGAACAAGCUUCUAAAUGGACCUAUUUAAGGUAUAGCCUUGUAUAUCAACAAUCUUGUUGGCUACAUAGUCCAUUUACAUUAUUACAAAAAUAAGCUGGUGCAGCAGUUGCUACUUAACUGUACAAA